UGCAAAGCAUUGUCAAACCAUCAUUGCAGUUGUAGUGUUCGUGGGGCACCAAGAAGUUUUCUUUUCAAAAUGUAGCAUUUCAACGCUCUUCCCAUCUCAGCUCACGAGUGUAAGACAUCUUCUGAUGAGAUUAAUAUACGGACGGUCAUUUCUAUUGGUAAUGCCACUCGAUUGUCGAUGUCUAAUAGUCGGAGUUCUCCAGGUUUUAAUUCUUGAGUGGGGAUUAUGUAAGAG